GGCGACCGGCGCACGGGUGAGUAACACGUAUCCAACCUGCCGAUGACUCGGGGAUAGCCUUUCGAAAGAAAGAUUAAUACCCGAUGGCAUAGUUCUUCCGCAUGGUAGAACUAUUAAAGAAUUUCGGUCAUCGAUGGGGAUGCGUUCCAUUAGCUUGUUGGCGGGGUAACGCCCACCAAGGCAUCGAUGGAUAGGGGUUCUGAGAGGAAGGUCCCCCACAUUGGAACUGAGACACGGUCCAAACUCCUACGGAAGGCAGCAG
rnacentral:rRNA from 1 species